UUUUGACUAAAAAACAAUGGCUCAUCAUGUGAAGAAGACUGAGAGGCUUUUGUUUUACGUCCUUACAUUUUGAGUUGUGCUUUUAAGACUUCUGUGUUGCUCUGCACUUAAUGAUCUGAUAGCUUUUGGAUAUGGACCUUACAAUGGGAAGAAGAGUCUGAGAAGAGUCUCAAGGAGAAAGGAGAAAUUUAUAUUCAUCUGACUGGGGCUGUCUUCUCAAAAUGAUGUCUGCCUGGACCAAAGUCUCUUGCUCUGCUGAUAAAAUGGAGGCAAGGCACCAACAGAAGGAAAUAAUCAGCUCAAGACUCCAGGAAGGAAAGGUACCCUUCAGAUACUGGAAGACCACAAUUAGGACACCCUGAAGCCGUCUCUUUUAAACUGAUCCAAAAUAUUUUCUUUUGAUUUGAAAAAAACCCCAAACCCAUUCAAACCAUGCCAUGGAAACUGCCUUUGCCAAAC